rnacentral:rRNA from 1 species
AAUGAACGCUGGCGGCAGGCCUAACACAUGCAAGUCGAACGGGUCCUUCGGGACUAGUGGCGGACGGGUGAGUAACGCGUGGGAACGUGCCCUUUGCUACGGAAUACCCUCUGGAAACGGAGAGUAAUACCGUAAGUGCCCUUUGGGGGAAAGAUUUAGCGGCAAAGGAUCGGCCCGCGUUGGAUUAGAUAGUUGGUGGGGUCAGGGCAUACCAAGCCGACGAUCGAUAGCUGGUUUGAGAGGAUGAUCAGACACACUGGGACUGAGACACGGCCCAGACUCCUACGGGAGGCAGCAGUGGGGAAUCUUAGACAAUAGGGGAAACCCUGAUCUAGCCAUGCCGCGUGAUCGAUGAAGGCCUCAGGGUUGUAAAGAUCUUUCAGGUGGGAAGAUAAUGACGGUACCACCAGAAGAAGCCCCGGCUAACUCCGUGCCAGCAGCCGCAGUAACAC